rnacentral:rRNA from 1 species
GACGAAGGGUGCUAGCGUUGUUCGGAAUUACUGGGCGUAAAGCGCGUGUAGGCGGUUGUUUAAGUCAGGUGUGAAAGCCUUGAGCUCAACUCAAGAAAUGCACUUGAUACUGGAUGACUAGAGGACCGGAGAGGAUAGUGGAAUUCCCAGUGUAGUGGUGAAAUACGUAGAGAUUGGGAAGAACACCAGUGGCGAAGGCGGCUAUCUGGACGGUUUCUGACGCUAAGACGCGA